AUAAGACCAAAGCUACCGGACAGAGGAAAUUUCUGAAAUCCCUGAGGCUUCCUUUCUCCUGGACAAGGGGCCCUCUGCUGCUGGAUCUUAUUGUCUGAAGCACACAAGACUCCCAUCCUCUGGGAGGACUGCGGUUGCUGAAGGAGAAACUCAACCCUGGUCCUGGCACUGACCAGCAUGCAGCCCAGAUUGCCUGGUUAGCAGGGCUUCAGCUGCUUUCAUUCUCUUAACAACUUGGGGGUAAGGUGGAUGGGGAAGGUGCCAUCAUCAUCCUAGUUAUGCUGCUGAGUCUUAGGGCUGUUGGAAACUUGCUCAAAGUCACAUAGCUCGUAAAAGGCAGCGUCAGAGUCUGAAGUUGGAUCUUCUCACUUCAAAGUCCAGACUCUUUCCAAUAUUCAUGCUGCCUUGCUCACACACCCUAAAGAAGCCUGCUGGGCACCCUCCAUUCAUCAAGGAGGUCACUUUUUACGAAUUGCUUUGUAAACCCUGGCAUCUUUUUGUGAUCUGUGUGACUGUUGAUAUAUCUGUAUGCCAGAUGAGCUCAUGGAAGCUCAGAGA
rnacentral:lncRNA from 10 species